rnacentral:rRNA from 1 species
AUUGAACGCUGGCGGCAUGCCUUACACAUGCAAGUCGAACGGCAGCACGGACUUCGGUCUGGUGGCGAGUGGCGAACGGGUGAGUAAUGUAUCGGAACGUACCUUUCAGUGGGGGAUAACGUAGCGAAAGUUACGCUAAUACCGCAUAUUCUGUGAGCAGGAAAGCAGGGGAUCGCAAGACCUUGCGCUGAUUGAGCGGCCGAUAUCAGAUUAGCUAGUUGGUGGGGUAAGGGCCUACCAAGGCUACGAUCUGUAGCGGGUCUGAGAGGAUGAUCCGCCACACUGGAACUGAGACACGGUCCAGACUCCUACGGGAGGCAGCAGUGGGGAAUUUUGGACAAUGGGGGCAACCCUGAUCCAGCCAUGCCGCGUGAGUGAAGAAGGCCUUCGGGUUGUAAAGCUCUUUCGGCCGGGAAGAAAUCGCAUAGGCUAAUACCCUGUGUGGAUGACGGUACCGGAAUAAGAAGCACCGGCUAACUACGUG